GAACGCUGGCGGCAUGCUUUACACAUGCAAGUCGAACGGCAGCACAGGGGAAGCUUUGCUCCCGGGUGGCCGAAGUUGGCGCACGGGUUGAGUAAUACAUCGGAACGUGUCCUGUUGUGGGGGAUAACUGCUCGAAAGGGUGGCUAAUACCGCAUGAGACCCUGAGGGUGAAAGCGGGGGAUCGCAAGACCUCGCGCAAUUGGAGCCGGCCGAUGCCCGAUUAGCUAGUUGGUGAGGUAAAGGCUCACCAAGGCGACGAUCGGUAGCUGGUCUGAGAGGACGACCAGCCACACUGGGACUGAGACACGGCCCAGACUCCUACGGGAGGCAGCAGUGGGGAAUUUUGGACAAUGGGGGCAACCCUGAUCCAGCCAUGCCGCGUGCAGGAUGAAGGCCUUCGGGUUGUAAACUGCUUUUGUCAGGGACGAAAAGGACCGUGUUAAUACCAUGGUCUGCUGACGGUACCUGAAGAAUAAGCACCGGCUAACUACGUG
rnacentral:rRNA from 1 species